ACGUAGGUUGCGAGCGUUAUUCGGAUUUACUGGGCGUAAAGAGCACCGAGGUGGCUUCUUAAGUUGGAUGUAAAAUCUCCUGGCUUAACUGGGAGGCGCCAUUCAAAACUGAGGAGCUUGAGGUCAGCAGGGGAAGGUGGAAUUCCCGGUGUAGUGGUGGAAUGCGUAGAGAUCGGGAGGAACACCAGUGGCGAAAGCGACCUUCUGGGCUGCACCUGACACUCUAGUGCGAAAGCGUGGGGAGCAAACAGGA
rnacentral:rRNA from 1 species